GACGAACGCUGGCGGCGUGCCUAAUACAUGCAAGUCGAACGGAGUGGGGACUGGUGAGUAACCCGUGGGUAACCUGCCAUCAGAGGGGAUAACGCUUGGAAAAAGGUGCUAAACCGAUACUGAUGGAUGGUCCCGCGGUGAAUUAGCUAGUUGGUGAGGUAACGGCUCACCAAGGCAACGAUGCAUAGCCGACCUGAGAGGGUGAUCGGCCACACUGGGACUGAGACACGGCCCAGACUCCUACGGGAGGCAGCAGUAGGGAAUCUUCGGCAAUGGACGAAAGUCUGACCGAGCAACGCCGCGUGAGUGAAGAAGGUCUUCGGAUCGUAAAACUCUUUUGUUAGAGAAGCGGUAUCUAACCAGAAAGCCACGGCUAACUACGUGCCAGCAGCCGCGGUAAUUC
rnacentral:rRNA from 1 species